GCUCAGAUGAAAAACAAGUUUCAAAAUGUUCAGCUUCAAUGAGAAAAGAAGUUCGGCGUUUUGACGGCUCUGAAUAGAAAGUACACUGCUGGAACUGCAGUCAGAUGAUGAUCGCAGGUCCUUGUUCUCAUUCGCUUGGAAGCAAGACAGAACAAGCAAUUACUGUCAGCUGCUUUACGACUGAAAUGAGGGGUGACCGGCUUUCUGAACUAUUCCAGGAGAUGGAGCAGAGCUGAUGCACUUACCUUGACAAAGAACCUUAUUGAAGCUGCAAUUUUUAUAUGGUCUCACUGUUGUGUGAAGGAUGAUGAUCUACCUCUGACUGCUGAUGGAUACAGCAUACUGCUCAGACCCAGCAAAACAUUUUCUAUUCUGUGUGAGUUUGACUUGGUACAGAGGAGAAAAGUGGUCAGCAUAAGACUGUCUUAGGAGGUGGUAUCUUCCUUCUCCAGCCCUUGCAGACAUCUAUUCUGCCCUCAGUAUAAAUUACAGUAGCAUGAAGGUAUACACAACUGAAGCAGAAAAUGAAUGACUGUUUCAGCAACUGCAGGUAGUCCAAAUCUCUACCUUUCUGGAGUAUGUCCGGCUCCACAUCACGGGGAGACCCUCUGGGAGAGGAAUUCUGAAUAGUGGGUCCUUCAGAAGAAGAUUUGUUCACUAUUCAUGAACAAAUGUUUUCAGCUGUCUCCUUUUGGGGAAGAGAUUCAUCCAUCUCCACAGGCUGUGGAUAUCUAGUGGGGAGAUGGAUCUUGAACCCUCCCCGUGGGGCAACUCACUGCAUGGCAGCUGAAUAAGAAGCAGGGUCUGCAUUUGAAAGGCAGGUGUUUGAAAUGAAGGCCCAAUUCAAUCUCUGAGGUAAACCUGUUAUUCUUGAGGACUCCACAAUUAUUUGAGCAGCAAUGUACAUGUCUGCAGGUUUUGGGGGGGGUGUCUCUUUUUGGUCAACUUAGAACAGGUAAACCUAUGUCCAUAACCUGUGUCGCUGCAUAUGUUGCAGGAGAGAACAGCUGCUCAGCCAUAUUUGACUUGCAUGAAGUCAGCACGGAGUGAGCUGGAGCAAUAAUCACAAUCCUUAACCAGUUUGGGUUAGACAAGAUGAACAUUGACUAAAGAUUUAUCUACUUUCCCGGAAAGACACCUGGAGGGCUUGCAAGUGGAGAGGGGACUGUAACUGAAUCCCUCUGUUAGGACAGACAUAGCUUGACAUUGCUACUAUGGGAGUAACCAUCACGGUGAGGAGAUUGGUGUUAAGACCUCACCAGAAGCCUAACUGCAGUGUGUAUCUUUAUUACGUUUAAAAGCUUCUGACAAUACUUGUUCAUGCUGUCAUUUUUCCUUGCUUACAAGAAAUGGUUGUGUCCACAAGGAGCUCAACAUGAGCCUGAAGUAACAUAGACUAUUAGUUGCUGAAUGCUAAAGGUUCCUUAAGGAAUCACAAUACAGAGGUCUAAUGAUGACCGAAGGUUUUGUGGGUUUUUUUUUCUGUGUGUUUCUGUUUUCUGCACCAUUGGGGAGACCUGCUCCUAACUCUGGAUGCAUCCUUGUUCUCUGGCAGAGGCUUGUUAUCACAUGCUGGAACCCUAUUACUGUGAUGAGUCCCAGGGUUUAAGUGCAUAAAGACUAUGGACAAACACACUGGAAUUUCUAGUAACUUGCUAAAGUUCAUUUAAAGCUCAUGUACAUUAUUGCAGUUGGAUUUUGAAUGUUUGGAGUCCUUCAUGAGGAGCAGUUCGCUACAAGGGGUGCCUCCACUUCUCACUGCAAGUUAGGAUCAGAGAUACAGCCAGUGAAGCACAGCAGUGGAAAUGCUAAACUCAGCCUUCUUGAAGAAGGCACUUUGACAAACUGCAUGUUAUAUAGGCCUGGAACUAAAAGAAAGCAUUUCCACGACUUUGAUGGGAUGAGCGUACAUACCAUGCCACGAUGCUUACAGCAGUCUUUUCCUGGCUACUAUAUUUGCACUACUGUUAAAGUUUAACAUAAGGCAACAAUCCAUGGUUCUUUAUUGUAGCUUUUACUGUAGUCUUUCACAGAGAUGCCAGAAUAUGGUUUCUAGAACGUUGGAUGUUCGCAGAUCCAGGAUGGUAAUUAAUCAGAUGGAAUCCUAUUAAAAGAUUACUUUCCUGUUCUCCAGAUAGAGUGCUAUAUGGAUGUAAAAAUUAUCUGUUGAAAUCCCUCAGGCAGCUUACACAGAAUAAUCUUCUUUUGGAUUCACUCCAACUCCCAGUGGAGGCUCUGAUUCAGGAAAUCACCUUUAUUCGGAAGAACACUUAAGCAAUUGCUUAAAGUUAGGCAAGUAUGUAAGAGCUACUUUGGAAAAGAUCGUCCCUAAUUGUACCCCACAUGCCUUCCUAAAUUGAGAUUGUCAAUGGAAAGGUUGCAGCUGAUUUCAGAAAGCUGGGACAAGGCUGUUGCCGUUUCUACAGAGAAUCGCUAUAUCUCUUAAUUAUACAGAUACUCAUGGAGUUAUAUAAUAUAUGGUAUCUUUAAAAAUACACUUGUAUAUCUUCUUAAAAUGUUGUCUUGGGAUUGGAUUCAGCAAGGUCACCCAUAGGAUUGCUCCUGGCAGCAUAUGGCACAAUCAGGAGGAAUUGUUUGUACAACCUGGCCUGCAUUCCAGCACACAUGUUCAUGUGCUAAGUAUUGUACCUGACUACUAGCAGGAGUAACUGACCAGAGGAGCUGCAGAGCAAAUACAGACCAUGUUUUCUACUGUGAAGGAGUACUGAACUGAAGGGGCCUACUGAAGGGCCUACUUUGAAGUAAAGGAGACUUUUGACAAUGGCUUCCAUGGAAACAAGAUUAGACCCAACACAGUAAGUGCAUGUAACUCACAGUGAAAUGAGAAUACUAAAUUAAAAACAAAUGAGUGAAAGAAGUGACUAAAACAGAUGAAACCAAUGAACAAAAGAAGCCAGCUGCAAUCACAGGUGAAACAAGCAUCCAAGUCUGAAAGGUGCAGGAGGCUCAUUUAGGCACCUUAGAGCCCAUCACACAAACCUUGGUCUUACGGGCCAACUCUUGCCUCCUUAAUGUGGAACAAACCGAGGCACCAAAACCACAAACUAAACUCUGCUUACCCUUACCCACGUUUCAGAUCGAGCUCACGCAGAGCCUGGUGACCUGCAGGAGCACGUGCUAGCACCAUGCCCAGGGAGGCUGCCCGAGAGGUAUCUCUGGUGCUCUGGGGGGCAGCUUGUCCUUCUGCAUUGGUCAUGCAAGCAGAAAUAUUUGUUGCCUGCUCAAGUGCAUGGCCAGAGGAUGAGAAAGGUAGUGAGGAAUCAGGUAGUGAGAGUUUGGAUGGUGGGAUACAUUGGGUGACUGCAGGCUUAUCUCUUUAGGUAAAGCAGUCGUGGUGGAUCAAGACUUCUCAAGAAACAAGAGGAUCUUUCGCUUUGACGCAUGGGAACUGUCUUGGGGGCUCUGGCACUUCUACGUGAAGACACAUACCUCAGUGGACCAGUACAAGUAACUCACCCUGACUUACACCUUUUUGAGAGAGCCUGUGUCCACAGGGAAGCAGUCUGCUCUCCUCAUCUGGAAUGAGAGUACUUCAGAUGCCUACAGGCCUGUGACUGCUCAGUUUGGUAUGGGGAAAUCAGCUGUUGGGAUGGCAGCACUAAAGGUUCAAGGUGCUGUUAUGAAGGUUGUUUACUUGGACACGGGUCUCAUGUUGUGCCUGGAGUGGCAGGUAACUUUCAGAAACUGGAUGCACUGGGGAAGGAUACUAUGGUGACAGACAAAUGCUCUUACUGUGCCCCUAGAACAGGCAAUGGCUAUUUAACUAUAAAGAGGUAUCGUGCCCUUUCCCUGCAGGGUGGGCCCAGCUCCUCAGCACCAAUGUGAGAAGCACUGGCAUGGCAAAUCAUGCCUGUGGUCAGAUGAGAUGGAGCAAUGACAAACGCGGACUGUAUUGCUCCCCAGUUACACUGAGCAGAGAGUCACUCUGGUUGGCAGGCCCUUGGGAAGACAGCCCUGCUCAAUGCAGGGCCAACAUCAAAUUGAGAGCAGACUGGUGCAAGAGGUGCUGGACCCCCCUGUAUGUCACCUCCGGCUGUUUCACAGAGCCCUGCUCCACACAUGGAGCCAGACCAGGAAAUUCCAGUGCCCUUCCAGUGGCUUCAGCGUGGUGGUGAGACCAAGUAUUAAGAAAGGUGCAGGCAAAACAGCGCUGCCUCUGUAAACGCUUGGGUGCUGGUGCUCUGAAGGCGUGCACAUGCAGGUGGCUUUUGUAUGCCAUUCCGGAGGGGAGGAGUUUUGCAUGAAGUUGGAGCUGAACACUGACAGGCUUAAAGCCAAUUUGCGGAAUUGGUUUGCAGCCAUAUAAGCAAAUGGGCCCAGGGUCAAGGAAGGCUGAGGAAACAAGAGAUGUGCCUAUGUUCAUGCAAUAUAUACCAGGUUAAAUUAGCAAUUUAAAUGAGCAAAUGAGCUAACUCACUUGUUUUCCUGCCUUGUUAGGGGACUUGAAAGGAACUGUCAUUGCUUUUUAGAGCUCUUGGGUGAUGCAGGGGUUCAGGAUGUAUUUUGUUCUCAGUGACCCCUAUGAAUUGUUAAAUGUAAAACACAUUUUUUUUCUGCCAAAUUAAGUAUCAGUUUAAUGUAACUUUCUCCGACAGUGGUGUCGGACUCAUGAAAUACCAUUGCAUGGGAUUGUGUAGGGUGCUCACUCUGUUUCCUUAUUUCAGUAAAAUCUCCUGACCCGGCCUUUGCUUCUCCUUUCAUCAGCACUUUGUGAGCAGUGUCAACUGGUUCUACAAUCACAGAACUUUAUUAAACUCCCAAGGAUGAGCAACGAGCAAGUUUGCUAGGCUAUAUCCAGGUCAACAGCUUGGGAAAAAUAAACAAUGCGUUUUUUAAAAGGCAAUGAGUGAUGGAGUGCAAAUAAACCCCAAAUAUACUAUAGCUCUAAAACUAACUUGCCAUUUCCAUGAAAAACUGAGUUCAGCGGCAGGAUGCACCCAGCUGUGGUGAUCAUAUUACCUAAUGCUGGCAUGGCCUGCUCUGGAUGUUCUCCUCCUCUUCCUGCAUGUGUGCAUAACUUCCAGGCACUCAGUGCUGAUUGUUCGGACCCCACCGGGAACAAAGCUGCUUGAGUGCCACAAGAUAAGAUGCAGAGCUCUCCAGUCUUUUCUUUCCCAACAUGGGAGGCAGAACCACAUUGGGUUGCAUGGCUGAGAGGUUGCUGCUACACUCAGUUGUGGCAGGGAAAUGUGCUUGCUCACUAGCACGGCAGUUUUGAGCAUGGAGGGAGGGAGACAGGCAGGCUGUUUGGCAAGCACUUUAAUUCCCAGCCUCUGCCAGUUGCCAGCUCCAGAGAGUACCCCUUAGGAAGGCAUGCUGUUUUGAAAACACUUACAUUCAGUGCCUCUGAGAAAUGGGGCAGCGGUACCUAGCUACCUGUCUGGCUUUCAAGGGAGCCAGUUAUGAGCAGAAGCCUUUAACGUCUAAGUAUGAGGCAGGUCUUGAUCACUGGCUAAAUGCAUCUGGUAAGCUAUGUAAGAUGGCUGCAAGCUGUUUUAAGGCACUGCAGAUAUUGGCCAGAUAGGACUGGCCAGGGACAGACAGCAGAAGAGGCUGGUUGAAGAAGUGAUAAGUCCUUUCACCUGGUUAUGGGCAGAGAGCCCAGGGCAGCAGUUCCUAAGCUGUUCUGCUUGCAGCCUAGCCUCCAGGGCUAUGGCUCCUCUACUGUUUCCAUAGCUGGGUUCAUGGCUUCACAUCUGGGAGGUCUUCCAAAAGCAUGCUGAUGGCUCUCAGUGCGUUCAUUCAACAGGCACCAACAGGGUGCUUCUCUGACUAUGCAGUACAGGAGACUGGACUGCAACGGUCCCUCUGGUGUACGGGUUUCAUUAAAGCAAACAGAAGUGGCUUGCCAGCUACCCUGAGCUCAAGGGGCCCAGCUGAAAGCAUGCAGGAAACUCCUAGAAAGAAGCCGAGUAUCAGCGAGGAAAUGCUGCCAACAUCUCACCCUGGUGCUGGGAGUCGCUUAUGCACACAGAAGCAUCCAGAAGAAGCGAUAGCAGUAACCAUGACAAUGUCAGCAGCAUGGCACUAGCGGGGCUUCCACAGUGAUUAUUUUUUUCCUCAGGGACACUUCAGUACGAUGAGUGAAUCUCCCUUUUUAUGAUGUGUGCUGUUGAUUGAGCAGUAGUCCAUGUUUGCUUUUAUCUUUCUCAAAGCAGAGCUAUCUCUGUGUAACCACUUUCUCUGAAAAUUGCUUAGGCAGGACUAGCUGUAAAAUGAAAGCAUUUUUAGGAGUUUUUGUCCCUCCCCAUGUGUCCGUGAAGCAUUUUGCAAAGGUCUGUCUCUCCACCCUAAUACCCCUCCUUUGGAUGUCCUAAUCAUAGCCAGGAACCAUUGCUGACUAAAACCAAAGGUAUCUCAUUCAACUGAACGCGCUGCUAUUUCUGAAGUGUGACUCAGUGCCUUUCAGUUAGGUGUCAGUGUGUGUUAUUUGCUGAGAAUUAAAAUCAACAUUAAUUAAUUCUGCUUUUUUUAUAUAAGUUUCUGUCUUUUCCUGCUCCAGGUCAUGAGUGAGGCCCAGGAAGAAAACAGCUCAGAGACUCAGCCUGGUUUGGUUUGAGGACCCGUUUCCCACAAUGUGGGCUUCACGAAGGGGCUCGCCGCUAACAGCCAUGCUCCUGGUGCAAUAAAAGGAGAGGCAAACCAUAUGGGGAAUCCAGGGGAAAGGGAGAGAAAGGGUGAGCAAAGGCAAGGAUAUGGCAAAGGAUAGAGGACACAUGAAACAAAGGAAUGUGAGAAAGACAAAAAGAAGGAUCCAAAUACAGGGAAAGAG